rnacentral:misc_RNA from 1 species
AACGCACCUUGCGCUCCUGGGCUAUUCCUAGGAGCAUGCUUGUUUGAGUGUCGCUGACCCUCUCAACCCCGCCGGGCGUCGUGCCCGGCCGCCUAGGGUUGGAUCGUGACGCGUGUGGGCGCCGUGCGCGCCGACUGCGUUGAAAGGCAACCAGCCGCAUCCGGACCGCGGCUUGACCCGUUGUCGUAAACUGACACACCCCAACGGGGACGCGGACCAGGAACGGGCUUACCACAAAGACCCCUGUUUUUAACCCAUGACCUCAAAUCAAGUAGGACUACCCGCUGAACUUAA